rnacentral:misc_RNA from 1 species
CGCACAUUGCGCCCCUCGGAAUUCCGGGGGGCAUGCCUGUUCGAGCGUCAUUACUCCUCUCAAGCGUCAGCUUGGCCUUGGGUCCCGUCCGGGCAGGGCGGUCCCGAAAACGAGCGGCGGUCCGGGUAGGACUUCGGGUGCAGUCAAAUUUUUCCACCACGAACGUCCCCCAGGAGCGGCCGAUAACUCCACAUUUUCUACAAUUGACCUCGGAUCAGGUAGGGAUACCCGCUGAACUUAA